AAGAACUACAAAAGCCAAAGCAGCUUGAUUUUUCUAUCAACUGGCAAACAUGAUCUUUCUCACUGGACUGCUGUGGUGUUUAAAGUGGAUGGAGCAACAGCAUCCUAGCCAGGAAAAAUGUUGCAAAAUACAGACCAUCGUGUUUCUGAAUGUACUCAAAAUUCAGGUGAACAAGAAAUAUUUAAUUUUUAAAAUCAUUUAUAUUUUGAAAAUGUAAAAAUUUUAAAUUUAGAUUACGUUAAACUAAUUGCUUAUCUC
rnacentral:lncRNA from 10 species